CUCAGGACGAACGCUGGCGGCGUGCUUAACACAUGCAAGUCGAACGGAAAGGCCCAGCUUGCUGGGUACUCGAGUGGCGAACGGGUGAGUAACACGUGGGUGAUCUGCCCCUGACUUUGGGAUAAGCCUGGGAAACUGGGUCUAAUACCGGAUAUUCACUUUUCCUCGCAUGGGGUUUGGUGGAAAGCUUUUGCGGUUGGGGAUGGGCCCGCGGCCUAUCAGCUUGUUGGUGGGGUAAUGGCCUACCAAGGCGACGACGGGUAGCCGACCUGAGAGGGUGAUCGGCCACACUGGGACUGAGACACGGCCCAGACUCCUACGGGAGGCAGCAGUGGGGAAUAUUGCACAAUGGGCGCAAGCCUGAUGCAGCGACGCCGCGUGAGGGAUGACGGCCUUCGGGUUGUAAACCUCUUUCAGCUCCGACGAAGCGCAAGUGACGGUAGGAGCAGAAGAAGCACCGGCCAACUACGUGCCAGCAGCCGCGGUAAUACGUAGGGUGCAAGCGUUGUCCGGAAUUACUGGGCGUAAAGAGCUCGUAGGCGGUUUGUCGCGUCGUCUGUGAAAUUCUGCAGCUUAACUGCAGGCGUGCAGGCGAUACGGGCAGACUU
rnacentral:rRNA from 1 species